AUUGAACGCUGGCGGCAUGCCUUACACAUGCAAGUCGAACGGUAACAGGUCUUCGGAUGCUGACGAGUGGCGAACGGGUGAGUUAUACAUCGGAACGUGCCCGAUCGUGGGGGAUAACGGAGCGAAAGCUUUGCUAAUACCGCAUACGAUCUACGGAUGAAAGCAGGGGACCGCAAGGCCUUGCGCGAACGGAGCGGCCGAUGGCAGAUUAGGUAGUUGGUGGGAUAAAAGCUUACCAAGCCGACGAUCUGUAGCUGGUCUGAGAGGACGACCAGCCACACUGGGACUGAGACACGGCCCAGACUCCUACGGGAGGCAGCAGUGGGGAAUUUUGGACAAUGGGCGCAAGUCUGAUCCAGCAAUGCCGCGUGCAGGAUGAAGGCCUUCGGGUUGUAAACUGCUUUUGUACGGAACGAAAAGGCUCUGGUUAAUACCUGGGGCUCAUGACGGUACCGUAAGAAUAAGCACCGGCUAACUACGUGCCAGCCGCCGCGGUAAGAC
rnacentral:rRNA from 1 species